GACGAACGCUGGCGGCGUGCUUAACACAUGCAAGUCGAGCGGUAAGGCCCUUUCGGGGGUACACGAGCGGCGAACGGGUGAGUAACACGUGGGUGACCUGCCCUCAGCUCUGGGAUAAGCCUGGGAAACCGGGUCUAAUACCGGAUAUGACUCCACGGCGCAUGUUGUGGGGUGGAAAGCCUUGUGCGGCUGAGGAUGGGCCCGCGGCCUAUCAGCUUGUUGGUGGGGUGAUGGCCACCAAGGCGACGACGGGUAGCCGGCCUGAGAGGGCGACCGGCCACACUGGGACUGAGACACGGCCCAGACUCCUACGGGAGGGCAGCAGUGGGGAAUCUUGCGCAAUGGGCGAAAGCCUGACGCAGCGACGCCGCGUGAGGGAUGACGGCCUCG
rnacentral:rRNA from 1 species